GAUGAAGAACGCAGUGAAAUGCGAUAAGUAAUGUGAAUUGCAGAAUUCAGUGAAUCAUCGAAUCUUUGAACGCACAUUGCGCCCCUUGGUAUUCCGAGGGGCAUGCCUGUUCGAGCGUCAUUAUAACCCCUCAAGCUCAGCUUGGUGUUGGGGCCUGCUGCACUGGCAGCCCUUAAAAUCAGUGGCGGUGCCAUCUGGCUCUAAGCGUAGUAAUUCUUCUCGCUAUGGAGUCCUGGUGGAUGCUUGCCAUCAACCCCCAAUUUUUCUAUGGUUGACCUCGGAUCAGGUAGGGAUACCCGCUGAACUUAAGCAUAUCAAUAAGCGGAGGA
rnacentral:misc_RNA from 1 species